UGUGCGGGCCGGGCCCCUCUGGCGGCUGGCUUCCUGCGGGGAGCUGGUCGUGAUGUCGGACCGCAUCG
rfam:Sphingobium sp. EP60837 chromosome 1, complete sequence.